rnacentral:rRNA from 1 species
GGGUCAGUAGGUUGGUCGUGCCACCGGUACGUACUGGUCUCACUGAUUCCUCCUUCCUGAGGAACCGUAAUGCCAUUAAUUUGGUGUUGCGGGGAAACAGGACUGUUACUUUGAAAAAAUUAGAGUGUUUAAAGCAAGCUAACGCUUGAAUACAUUAGCAUGGUAUAAUGAAAUAGGACGAUCGAUCCUAUUUUGUUGGUUUCUAGGAUUGACGUA